rnacentral:rRNA from 1 species
UACGGGGGGGGCAAGCGUUGUUCGGAAUUACUGGGCGUAAAGGGCUCGUAGGCGGCCAACUAAGUCAUACGUGAAAUCCCUCAGCUUAACUGGGGAACUGCGUGUGAUACUGGAUGGCUUGGAUGUGGGAGAGGGAUGCGGAAUUCCAGGUGUAGCGGUGAAAUGCGUAGAUAUCAGGAGGAACACCGGUGGCGAAGGCGGGUCUCUGGGCCGAUACUGACGCUGAGGAGCGAAAGCGUGGGGAGCGAACAGG